rnacentral:rRNA from 1 species
GAUGAACGCUGGCGGCGUGCCUAAUACAUGCAAGUCGAGCGAACAGACGAGGAGCUUGCUCCUCUGACGUUAGCGGCGGACGGGUGAGUAACACGUGGAUAACCUACCUAUAAGACUGGGAUAACUUCGGGAAACCGGAGCUAAUACCGGAUAAUAUAUUGAACCGCAUGGUUCAAUAGUGAAAGACGGCUUUGCUGUCACUUAUAGAUGGAUCCGCGCCGCAUUAGCUAGUUGGUAAGGUAACGGCUUACCAAGGCAACGAUGCGUAGCCGACCUGAGAGGGUGAUCGGCCACACGGGAGCGGAGACACGGUCCAGACUCCUACGGGAGGCAGCAGUAGGGAAUCUUCCGCAAUGGGCGAAAGCCUGACGGAGCAACGCCGCGUGAGUGAUGAAGGUCUUCGGAUCGUAAAACUCUGUUAUUAGGGAAGAACAAAUGUGUAAGUAACUAUGCACGUCUUGACGGUACCUAAUCAGAAAGCCACGGCUAACUACGUG